rnacentral:rRNA from 1 species
UACGUAGGCGGAAAUUUAAGUCAGUAGUGAAAUCCUGCAGCUUAACUGUAGAACUGUUAUUGAUACUGGUUUUCUUGAAUAUAGUUGAGGUAGGCGGAAUGUGUAAUGUAGCGGUGAAAUGCUUAGAUAUUACACAGAACACCGAUUGCGAAGGCAGCUUACUAAGCUAUGAUUGACGCUGAGGUACGAAAGCGUGGGGAGCGAACAGGAUUAGAUACCCUGGUAGUCC